UCCAGACUCCUACGGGAGGCAGCAGUGGGGAAUAUUGCACAAUGGGGGAAACCCUGAUGCAGCAACGCCGCGUGAGUGAGGAAGUAUUUCGGUAUGUAAAGCUCUAUCAGCAGGGAAUAGAAAAGAAGGUACCUGAAAAAGAAGCCCCGGCUAACUACGUGCCAGCAGCCGCGGUAAUACGUAGGGGGCAAGCGUUAUCCGGAUUCACUGGGUGUAAAGGGAGCGUAGACGGCGACGCAAGUCUGGAGUGAAAGCCCGGGGCCCAACCGCGGGACUGCAUUGGGAACUGGCGCGCUGGAGUGCCGGAGGGGUAGGCGGAAUUCCUAGUGUAGCGGUGAAAUGCGUAGAUAUUAGGAGGAACACCAGUGGCGAAGGCGGCCUACUGGACGGUGACUGACGCUGAGGCUCGAAAGCGUGGGGAGCAAACAGGAUUAGAUACCCUAGUA
rnacentral:rRNA from 1 species